GAUGAACGCUGACAGAAUGCUUAACACAUGCAAGUCAACUUGAACUUCGGUUUGGGUGGCGGACGGGUGAGUAACGCGUAAAGAACUUGCCUCACAGCUAGGGACAACAUUUGGAAACGAAUGCUAAUACCUGAUAUUAUGAUUAUAUGGCAUCGUAUAAUUAUGAAAGCUAUAUGCGCUGUGAGAGAGCUUUGCGUCCCAUUAGCUAGUUGGAGAGGUAACAGCUCACCAAGGCGAUAAUGGGUAGCCGGCCUGAGAGGGUGAUCGGCCACAAGGGGACUGAGACACGGCCCUUACUCCUACGGGAGGCAGCAGUGGGGAAUAUUGGACAAUGGACCGAGAGUCUGAUCCAGCAAUUCUGUGUGCACGAUGAAGUUUUUCGGAAUGUAAAGUGCUUUCAGUUGGGAAGAAAAAAAUGACGGUACCAACAGAAGAAGUGACGGCUAAAUACGUG
rnacentral:rRNA from 1 species